rnacentral:rRNA from 1 species
AACGUAGGAGACGAACGUUAUCCGGAGUUACUGGGCGUAAAGGGCGUGCAGGCGGCCUGAUAAGUUCGGCGUGAAAUUUCCCGGCUUAACCGGGGGAUGUCGUCGGAUACUGUUGGGCUAGAGGGCGAUAGAGGUGUGUGGAAUUCCGGGUGUAGUGGUGAAAUGCGUAGAGAUCCGGAGGAACACCAGUGGCGAAGGCGACACACUGGGUCGCACCUGACGCUAAGACGCGACAGCAUGGGGAGCGAACGGG